UGAACGCUAGCGACAGGCCUAACACAUGCAAGUCAGGGGCAGCACAAGGAGCAAUCUGAGGUGGCGACCGGCGCACGGGUGAGUAACACGUAUGCAACCUGCCUGUAAGCGGGGAAUAACCCGUUGAAAGACGGACUAAUACCGCAUAAUACUAAAUUACUGCAUGGUAAUUUAUUUAACAUUUAUGGCUUACAGAUGGGCAUGCGCAUGAUUAGCUAGUUGGAGAGGUAACGGCUCCCCAAGGCAACGAUCAUUAGGGGUUCUGAGAGGAAGGUCCCCCCACACUGGUACUGAGACACGGACCAGACUCCUACGGGAGGCAGCGGUGAGGAAUAUUGGUCAAUGGACGAGAGUCUGAACCAGCCAAGUCGCGUGCAGGAAGAAUGUCCCUAUGGAUUGUAAACUGCUUUUGCAGGGGAAUAAAGUGCAUCACGUGUGAUGUUUUGUAUGUACUCUGCGAAUAAGGAUCGGCUAACUCCGUGCCAGCCGCCGC
rnacentral:rRNA from 1 species